rnacentral:rRNA from 1 species
AUGAACGCUAGCGACAGGCUUAACACAUGCAAGUCGAGGGGCAGCACAGGUAGCAAUACCGGGUGGCGACCGGCGCACGGGUGAGUAACGCGUAUGCAACUUACCUAUCAGAGGGGGAUAACCCGGCGAAAGUCGGACUAAUACCGCAUGAAGCAGGGGCCCCGCAUGGGGAUAUUUGCUAAAGAUUCAUCGCUGAUAGAUAGGCAUGCGUUCCAUUAGGCAGUUGGCGGGGUAACGGCCCACCAAACCGACGAUGGAUAGGGGUUCUGAGAGGAAGGUCCCCCACAUUGGUACUGAGACACGGACCAAACUCCUACGGGAGGCAGCAGUGAGGAAUAUUGGUCAAUGGCCGAGAGGCUGAACCAGCCAAGUCGCGUGAGGGAUGAAGGUUCUAUGGAUCGUAAACCUCUUUUAUAAGGGAAUAAAGUGCGGGACGUGUCCCGUUUUGUAUGUACCUUAUGAAUAAGGAUCGGCUAACUCCGUGCCAGCAGCCGCGGUAAUACGGAGGAUCCGAGCGUUAUCCGGAUUUAUUGGGUUUAAAGGGUGCGUAGGCGGCCUUUUAAGUCAGCGGUGAAAGUCUGUGGCUCAACCAUAGAAUUGCCGUUGAAACUGGGGGGCUUGAGUAUGUUUGAGGCAGGCGGAAUGCGUGGUGUAGCGGUGAAAUGCAUAGAUAUCACGCAGAACCCCGAUUGCGAAGGCAGCCUGCCAAGCCAUGACUGACGCUGAUGCACGAAAGCGUGGGGAUCAAACAGGAUUAGAUACCCUGGUAGUCCACGCAGUAAACGAUGAUCACUAGCUGUUUGCGAUACACUGUAAGCGGCACAGCGAAAGCGUUAAGUGAUCCACCUGGGGAGUACGCCGGCAACGGUGAAACUCAAAGGAAUUGACGGGGGCCCGCACAAGCGGAGGAACAUGUGGUUUAAUUCGAUGAUACGCGAGGAACCUUACCCGGGUUUGAACGCAUUCGGACCGAGGUGGAAACACCUUUUCUAGCAAUAGCCGUUUGCGAGGUGCUGCAUGGUUGUCGUCAGCUCGUGCCGUGAGGUGUCGGCUUAAGUGCCAUAACGAGCGCAACCCUUGCCACUAGUUACUAACAGGUAAAGCUGAGAACUCUGGUGGGACUGCCAGCGUAAGCUGCGAGGAAGGCGGGGAUGACGUCAAAUCAGCACGGCCCUUACAUCCGGGGCGACACACGUGUUACAAUGGCGUGGACAAAGGGAAGCCACCUGGCGACAGGGAGCGAAUCCCCAAACCACGUCUCAGUUCGGAUCGGAGUCUGCAACCCGACUCCGUGAAGCUGGAUUCGCUAGUAAUCGCGCAUCAGCCAUGGCGCGGUGAAUACGUUCCCGGGCCUUGUACACACCGCCCGUCAAGCCAUGGGAGCCGGGGGUACCUGAAGUCCGUAACCGCGAGGAUCGGCCUAGGGUAAAACUGGUGACUGGGGCU